rnacentral:sRNA from 1 species
AGAUUGUAGUUUUUGUUUUGGCCGGAAAGGCUUACCAUGAAUUGCCAGGGCUGAGAGAGAUGGAGAAGGAUUCGCGGCGGUGACAGAUUAAAUUCCACAGUUACAUUAUAGACUUGGAAGUGGGGGAUCUUCUCAUCGUUAGAGGCCCCGAUCAUGGGAGAUAGGCGGUUCGGAGCCAGUCCUGCCUAACUUUGUGUUCACUGAUGUUAGGGCUGCUAGGGCUGCAAAGGUGGGCACCCCUACUCGUCUAAGAGCUUUCUCCUCUCUUCUCUUUUUCCCCUUUGCCUCUCUCCUUACAUCACCUGCCCACUAAGUAGACUUGUCCUUGUGUGAACGGGAGCCGGAAAGCCUUGAGAACUUAUUCCUCGACCCGGACAUGGCACAUGAGAAAAUGAAACUAGGUUUCAAGUCGCUGCCGAGUUCCACUACCGCAGACGGCAACAUUCUGAGAAGAGUCAACAGUGCCCCUUUGAUCAAUGGACUUGGAUCUUACUUCUUAAACUAGACUUUUAAAAUGAAAUGUUGGAUUUCACAUUUCAGUAUUAUAAGGUUUUCUAGAUACCGUAAAAAUGUCUGAAAAAUGCAUUCACUACAUAUGUUACUAACUUUGCUCUUCACCUUUUGUGGCAUCAUACUAAUUGAUAGUUGUAAUUCACAGUACCAUAGACUAUCAGGAAGGGAUUCAGAGACCAGCUUUACCCUCCUUGUUUAACAUAUGAGGAAACUGAGGCCCAUAAAUCUCCAAAAUGACGUUUAGUGGCAGAGCCAGUACUAGGAACCUCUGUUUCCUGACUCCUAAACUACUGUUCUGGCCACUACUAACCAAUACCUAAGCUGAUUAACUCUAAAUGAAUGCAGCUUUUGGGUCAUUUGAGGUAGGAGAGAAUAUAUUGUUCACAAAAUGAAAAGCAAACUAAGAUUGACCAAAAAAAAUACAUUACCUUUUUAAAAUAGGCAGGUAGAAAAACAUAGAAGGGGGACUCUGCAUGUUGUGCUGAGAACAAGAACAUUUUAUUCACUCAGGAUUUUGCUCUAAUCCUGUUGUGGGAAAAAGGAAUUAUGGGACCCACUCUACUAGUAGAAGAGAGCAGUAGGGAGAAUGUUGGAUUUAUUGAAGAUGAUAUAAAAAGAAGAAAUAGGUUGCAAAUAGACGAUGGAAGAUGUGUACUGGAAGGAACCUGUGGAUCCUCUUUAAUGUAUUAAAUACACCAGAGAAGGAGUGGACCCUUCCCUAAUCCUUAAAGCCCUGGAAACAGAGAGAUCUCAGUUAUCCCUUCAUACCUUGCUUUGUUCUGCAAAGGAUUUUUUUGUUUUGUUUGUUUGUUUUUUGCUUUUAUCAUAUUAGAGCAUAGCUACAGUGUUAAAUUCCAUAGCUUAAGAUCCUGAUGCAUGAAGUAAAAUUUGUACAGAAAGAUAAGGGUCACUAGCAUAUUUCUGUAGUAGGAGUUUAAAGAUACAGAAACCACAAAGUGGACGGAGUCCAGGGACUCUAGUCUGUCAGAAAGAAGUAACAUAGGAAUGAUGUGUGACAUCCCUGAGAUUAGGGGACUUGCCCAGAUGAUCUGAGGGCAUAUUUUGUGCUGUUGUAGAAAAUGUAGGGCAUAGUCAGAGAAGUUAUUCUGAAGCAAGAAAAAUUUAGAGUAGGAUUACACUGAGCCUUAGUUGAAUUCAUUUUCACCUCAGUUCUCAUUUGCAUAUGUAUACUGCUCACUUUUCUCCCUUUUUUUUCCUUCCUUGGCCCUCUAAUACUUGAGUACUUCCUCUUUCUAAACUAUACCUGGCCAGUAAAGCAUUCUUUUCAGAAAGGUGAAAGUCACUAGCAUAUUUCUUUAGUAGGAAUUAAAGAUAUAGAAACCACAAAGUGGACAGAGUUCAGAGACUCCAGUCCAUCAGAAAGAAGUAACAUAGGAAUGAUGUGUGACAUGCCUGAGGUCAGGGAACUUGCCCAAAUGAUCUGAGGGGAUGUUUUGUGCUGUUGUAGAAAAUAUUUAGCUUGCUAAACAUUGUUGCACCUCUUUCAAGUAAUUUUCGAACUUUGCUUGAUGUUUCUUCUAUAUAAAGACCCUCUUGCACCAACAUUUGCAGAAUUAAAUUCCUUAGAUUUGUUUCUUUCAUAUCAACUCUUUAAUACAGUAUUACUGUUUUAAAGAAGUAUCUGCACUGUUUUAUGUAUAUCUUGAACUAAUAGAAAUUCCAACGUCAAAA